CAUGCAGUUAUUGCUCUGAAUAUACGCGGAUAUUUAAAGUGCAUGGCGGAUUUAUUGGUUGUUAUGAUAAGUGUUUAUUUUCAUCAUAAAUUUAUUCUAACUUAAGUAAAAAAAGAAUGGAAAGACCGCUUCUUUUGUUGAUGUAUCGAAGAUACAACUUGGCAGCGAAAAAAUGGCCGUGUUGACAUUUCGAUCUGACUGUCUGCUGUCAAGUACUUUUAAUAUAUUUUCUGUAUAUUUGUAAAUUUUCAUGAUGGCAGAAUAUACUUGUAGCCAAGACAGUCAGGCAUCUACUAUAUUAACACUGAUUAAGUACAUUCUGUAUGAAAUUAUUUUCUAUCUAGAAAUUGUAAAUAAAAGGAAUAUUUUACAUUUUUUUAACUGUCACAGAUGUGAACUGGUGAAUAAUUACAUGGUCAUUAUGCACAUACAGUAGAAUCUAUGACAAUUGGAAAAGAAAAGUACAAUAACACAGGAAAAGUGGUGUUUUAAAUUGUCACUUUUUGUUGUAAUAGCAACUAAAAUAGACCUCCUGAAAAUUUCUAAAAAAUUCUACAUGCAAUUUACAAUAAAAACUACUUUUUUCAUUCUCACUACUGCCUGUACUGGCAGACAGCAUACUGGUAGGCUACUAAAUAAAUGAAAAAUUCUUUGUUUAUAUUUUUUCAGGACAACCUCCAGCAGUAAGAGAUAUAAAGGUUCAUUGCAGUUUUGACUAUGCUCAACAAGUAUUGUACACAUACUAUGCUCAGCAAGUGGAGUUGCUGUGAAUUCUCAUGCAGGCUCUCAGAUUUUCUACCUAGUGUAUGAAAAGUACAGUACUGCUGUUGGAAGAGGAGUAUCUAUGGUCCACCAUCACUUCAAGCAUCAUGGCUAUGGAUAAAAGAAGGUUUCAUUACAUAUGGACAAUUAUAUUGGACAAAAUAAGAAAAGUGUUCUAAUAAGUUCUGGAAUGUGGCUGGUUAUGAUGGGUCUACAUGAUUGACUUGGAGUACAACCUGAUGGAGGCCGGGCUUGCAGAUUUCAGUCCUAAACAUGUUUAGAAUGUCUUCUGCAUGACCUAGUAUAGUAUUCUUGAAGGAUUAUAACUUCAACACAGAGACAGAGAUUAAUAUUUUAGGCAGGGGAUUGGCAUGACAGGCAAAUUCUCCAACCGUAUUACCAUUCCUGAGCUGGAUGCCAGUCGACAGUCGUACCUGUAUAAUGAAAUAGCGCCCCUUUGCAGCAACAGCAAUGUAUGCUCAAAACCAGCAGUACCAAAGCCAUUAAAAUUGAGAACUCUGUCAUUUAAAACGAAGAAUGAAUGGAAAAAAGUGUUUAACAUUUAAAUUAAGACAGAGAAAGAGCUAAGCUCAUUUGGUAUUUUCUGAAAUUUCAAUUAAUUUGAAAGUGUUUUUGAUUUUUUAAAGGUGUACUAGACCCAAAUUCCAUAUAAUAUGAAUAUGAACAAAUGCUACAUAUAGUUAUGUAAACAUUGAAUUAACAAGUUUAUGGUGUCAGCAGUACUAUGCAUUGGUUAAAUAUUGACACACUGUAUGUAUGUAAGGCUGAACACAGUAUAAAUGUGAAAUUCCUCUAAGACACUGGAAGAUUUUUCAACAAUCUACUGUUUAGUACUGCACGACAUAAAAUUCUAAAUGGAGCUCUACAUACACAGUUGAUUUAUACAUUAAGCAAAGUUAAAUAUAUUUAUUGAUGAUUUUCUACAUUUGAAGUAAUUACCUAAAUAUUAAAUAUUUUAGUGAAGAUAUAUUUUAUGCAACUAUAUAAGUUGAAAAAAGCUACCCUCCAGGAAGAAUAUUUUGAAAUGAUACUUUUACUUGAAAAUUUAUGUGAAAAAUGAAGGAAAUA